AAGUCGUAACAAGGUUUCCGUAGGUGAACCUGCGGAAGGAUCAUUACUGGGUUAGCCUUUGGGCGCAACUCCACCCUUUGUAACCGCGGCCCGGAUUCGGCGCCUGGCGGGGAUGAUCGCCCGUCCGCGGGCGGCCCCGCCUGCCGGAAUUAGCCAACCCUGCCUAGAAAACUGAAGUCUGAGAACAAGUUAAAUUAAACAAAA
rnacentral:misc_RNA from 1 species